UUCGUCCGAACCCAAGGAACGACACAGACGAUCAGGACUGCGUCCUAAACUUGAGAUGUCUGUGGUUUACGAGAACGUUACAUCAGUGAUGAAUCCUGGAGCCACGUUUUCGUAUAAAGUCAAGCUGAAGCACAGCAGUGAUUCCUCUGCAGAUGCACAAGGUGUACGAGUCCUCUUCAUGCUCACUCCAUUUGUUACAUUCAAACAAUUGAAAUCUUACGAAAUCACCAAGCCUACGCAUUCGCAGAAGGACGACAGUGUGGUU